rnacentral:misc_RNA from 1 species
GGCGGCGAUAGCUGGUACUUCCUGACCAGCGACUACGCGUUCGGUCAUUCGCUCCAGCGCGACGCAAGCCGUUUCGUCGAAGCCAGCGGCGGCAAGGUGCUGGGCGCGGUGCGUUUUCCGUUCGGUUCGCCGGAUUUCUCGUCGUUCCUGCUUCAGGCGCAGGCCUCCAAGGCCAAGGUGAUCGGCCUUGCCAUGUCGGGCGC